CCGCUCACACAGGUCGUCGUUUAUUAUCCUGGACGGGAGGUUCCAGCUUCAUCUGAGCCUCGUCUGUUUGUUAAUCAGCAGCAGAAACGACCGGAGUGAUUUCUGUGGAACGUGGAGGAGGUGUUGACCGGAGCCGAUCCAGACAAACAGUUUCCGCUCCAUGAUUAAAAACUAGAAUCUACGAGAUCCAGACUUUUAUUUGGAUUCACACAAAUUCUAACACAUUCGCAGUAAAAUCUAGAUCCGUGAAUUAUUCUCUGUGGUGUCAGUCACAGUAGUAACCAGGGUCCGGUCUGACCCCGACCCUUCUGACAGUUCCCUCCGAAUGACGGAGUAACUCCUCCUGCGGGCCAGUAGGUGGCGCUCUGCCAACGUACUUCUACUUCCGGUUGACUUUUGUCAAAGUCACAACAACGUGGGAAGCGGAGGAGAACGUGGACGACCUCUCGUACCUUCUCCACGCCUCGUGACGAUCACGACUCCCCCGUUACUGAGGAGUUAUCUAGGUCCGUCAACUGGGUCGGAUCUUCAUGAAGCUUCAGGAACGUUUCCUGCGUCAUGAUGAGGAAAUACAAAGUUGGUGUGUUGUUCCUGGUCUGACCGCAGCUGGAUUUCCUCCGUCUCACGUCCGGAUCGUUUUCAAGUCCGGCGUGUUUCUGUCUGGCCGCUCGUCGAGCUCUGACCCGUCCCGGCGGUUCUGAGGAGACGUCUGACAGUGAGACGGCGUGACAGGCGAGCGGAGUGAGUGAGACGGGUUCAUCUGGAGACAGACUCCUUCUCGCAGCUGCUGCAGCCGACAGUCUAUAACAGAAUGUAAAUGAAGUGGUCUGAGCCAACAAACCUCCACUUUCUCUCUAUCAUGAAUAAAUAUUAGUCGUUCUCACUCUCCGGCCCCGAGCUGCUUGUUCUCCCACAAUGCCCGGCGGCAGCGGCCGCGGCACAUUCCUCGCUUCCUGUUGCUACACUGAG